rnacentral:rRNA from 1 species
GAUGAACGCUAGCGGCAGGCUUAAUACAUGCAAGUCGUGGGGCAGCGCAGUGUAGCAAUACAUGGGCGGCGACCGGCAAACGGGUGCGUAACACGUACGCAACCUUCCCGUUACUGGGGAAUAGCCCAGGGAAACUUGGAUUAAUACCCCAUAUUAUAUUGAUUGGGCAUCUAAUUAAUAUCAAAGCUUCGGCGGUAACGGAUGGGCGUGCGGUUGAUUAGGUAGUUGGCGGGGUAACGGCCCACCAAGCCUACGAUCAAUAGCUGAUGUGAGAGCAUGAUCAGCCACACGGGCACUGAGACACGGGCCCGACUCCUACGGGAGGCAGCAGUAAGGAAUAUUGGGCAAUGGACGAAAGUCUGACCCAGCCAUGCCGCGUGGAGGAUGAAGGUCCACUGGAUUGUAAACUUCUUUUUUCUGGGGCGAAAACCGGUUUUUCUAAACCAUUUGACAGUACCAGAAGAAUAAGCACCGGCUAACUCCGUGCCAGCAGCCGCGGUAAAAC